rnacentral:rRNA from 1 species
AGCGAACGCUGGCGGCAUGCCUAACACAUGCAAGUCGAACGAGACCUUCGGGUCUAGCGGCGCACGGGUGCGUAACGCGUGGGAACCUGCCCUUAGGUACGGAAUAACUCCGCGAAAGAGGUGCUAAUACCGGAUAAGCUCUUCGGAGCAAAGAUUUAUCGCCUUUGGAUGGGCCCGCGUUGGAUUAGCUAGUUGGUAGGGUAAAAGCCUACCAAGACGACGAUCCAUAGCUGGUCUGAGAGGAUGAUCAGCCACACUGGGACUGAGACACGGCCCAGACUCCUACGGGAGGCAGCAGUGGGGAAUAUUAGACAAUGGGCGCAAGCCUGAUCCAGCAAUGCCGCGUGAGUGAUGAAGGCCUUAGGGUUGUAAAGCUCUUUUAGCCGGGAUGAUAAUGACGGUACCGGGAGAAGAAGCUCCGGCUAACUCCGUG